rnacentral:rRNA from 1 species
CGUAGGUGCGAGCGUUGUCCGGAAUUACUGGGCGUAAAGAGUUCGUAGGCGGUUUGUCGCGUCGUGUGUGAAAUCCCGCAGCUCAACUGCGGGCUUGCAGGCGAUACGGGCAGACUUGAGUACUGCAGGGGAGACUGGAAUUCCUGGUGUAGCGGUGAAAUGCGCAGAUAUCAGGAGGAACACCGGUGGCGAAGGCGGGUCUCUGGGGCAGUAACUGACGCUGAGGAACGAAAGCGUGGGUAGCGAACAGGAUU